rnacentral:rRNA from 1 species
UACGUAGGGUGCGAGCGUUGUCCGGAAUUAUUGGGCGUAAAGAGCUCGUAGGCGGUGUGUCACGUCGGCCGUGAAAACCUGCAGCUUAACUGUGGGCGUGCGGUCGAUACGGGCAUCACUGGAGUUCGGCAGGGGAGACUGGAAUUCCUGGAGUAGCGGUGAAAUGCGCAGAUAUCAGGAGGAACACCGGUGGCGAAGGCGGGUCUCUGGGCCGAUACUGACGCUGAGGAGCGAAAGCGUGGGGAGCAAACAGG